rnacentral:rRNA from 1 species
ACCCAUGACGGUGGAUGUCUCGGCUCCAGCAACGAUGAAGAACGUAGCAAACUGCGAAACGUAAUGUGAACUGCAGAACCCGUGAAUCAUCGAAUUUUUGAACGCAAGUGGCGCUCGCGGGUAAUCCUGCGAGCAUGCCUGUUUGAGUGUCCGCACAAAUGUGAGUUUGCGCGUUGCAGGACAGAAAUGUUCUGCCACGCUGCAGCUGAUGGGUGUUGUCCGUGGGGCGCGGAGGGUUGGCGCCCGUGCCCGCGGUCACCCGAAGUAGAGAGUGUCUGAACGCGACGCACGCUGUCACGGUAGUGUCUUGCCUCACCCUGAUUGUAUUGCGGCGUGCUGCGGAGUAGGAAAAUGCGAGUUUUCGGAAAGCAGUGUGCCGGCAUUCGGUCGGGGAGAGCGAGGCGCACCGAAUUUUUUUGACCAAAAAAUUUGGUGGCCGAGUCGAUGAUUGCGUUGUGUAAGGACCUUACAGUAUCGGUUGAGGCGAGACCUCACGAACCCACUCAUUUGGAUCUCAAAUCAGGCAAGGCAACCCGCUGAAUUUAAGCAUAUUAUUAAGCGGAGGAAAAGAAACUAACUAGGAUUCCCCCAGUAGCGGCGAGCGAAGCGGGAAAAGCCCAACAUGAAAAGCCUGCUUGCAGGCGUUGUAUUGUGAGCGGCCUCUGGGGUGUCAGUGUGGGUAAGUCGCAUGGAAAUGCGGGCCGUGGAGGGUGAGAGUCCCGUCCGUCCCACACAGGACACACCGUACGAGGCUGUUUCAGACGAGUCGGGUAGCUUGGGAAUGCUGCUCUAAUUGGUGGUAAAUCUCAUCAAAGGCUAAAUAACGGCUGGAGACCGAUAGCGAACAAGUACCGUGAGGGAAAGAUGCAAAGCACUUUGAAAAGAGGGUGAAAAGAACCUGAAACCGUCAUGGGGGAAGCGGAUUGCGUUGGAAUGAAAGGGCGCUGUGUGUGUUCAGCCCGUUUGGGGUGCACUGGCACGAGUGCCUAUCCGCCGUGGGCUGCCGGGGGCCGAUUGUGGGUCCCUGGCGGCUGAGGGCUCCCCUCUUGCAGGGUUGAGGACGGCGGAGGGACGACGCGAUACGACCCGUCUUGAAACACGGACCAAGGAGUCUAGCGCGGAUGCGAGUCAAAGGGUGUGAAAGCCCGUGGGCGCAGUGAAAGCGACGUUGCAAAACGAGCAGUUUGAGGCGGCAUGAGAUCGUUGUAUCUCAAGUCCGACCUGGAGCAUUUGCGCUGGGACCCGAAAGAUGGUGAACUAUGCCGGAGUAGGGCAAAGCCAGAGGAAACUCUGGUGGAGGCUCGUAGCGGUGCUGACGUGCAAAUCGCUCGUCAAACUUGGGUAUAGGGGCGAAAGACUAAUCGAACCAUCUAGUAGCUGGUUCCCUCCGAAGUUUCUCUCAGGAUAGCGGGCCGACACGAGUUGUUCUGUGUGGUAAAGCGAAUGAUUAGCGUAUUUGGGGACAGUAUGUCUUCUGGCGAUUCUCAAACUUUAAAUGCGCAGGGGUGUCGCUGCUUGGUUGAGCGGCACCGGCAAAAACGUCGGCCCUGUGGGCCACUUUUGGUAAGCAGAACUGGCGAUACGGGAUGAACCGUAAGCACGGUUAAGGCGCCCAAGUGCCCGCUUAUAGACCCCACAAAAGGCGUUGAUUCAUCGAGACAGCAGGACGGUGGCCAUGGAAGUCGGAAUCCGCUAAGGAGUGUGUAACAACUCACCUGCCGAAUGAAUUAGCCCUGAAAAUGGAUGGCGCUGAAGCGGGCUGCCGACACCGUGCCGUCUGGGCGAGAAAGGCCCCAGAUGAGUAGGAGGGCGUGGCGGCCGUAUCGAAGCACGCGUGCAAACGCGUGUGGAACGGCCGCUAGUGCAGAUCUUGGUGGUAGUAGCAAGUAUUCAAGCGAGAUCCUUGAAGGGCGAAGCGGGGAAGGGUUCCACGCGAACAUUGAUUGGGCGUGGGUGAGUCGUUCCUAAGCCGAGUGGCGAUUGCUAAGUAGCGGCGAAAGGGAAGCGGGUUGAAAUUCCCGCACACGGAUGUGGACGCGGUGACGCGAGUGAUGGGGCGAAGACGCUGGCGACGGCGCUGGGCAGAGUUGUCUUUUCUGUUUGACCAGUUUGCGCGCGCGGUGUGGAAUCCGCUUGUCGGGAGAAACACGCGUGUGCGGGCAGAGCGCCGGGGCUUUUCCGGCGUCCAGCUCGCCGUCGACGGCCCUUGAAAAUUUGCCUGCUGAAAAUCUUUGAUUUGAAAUCCACGCCGUGGCGUACCGAUCACCGCAUCAGGUCCCCAAGGUGAACAGCCUCUGCUCAGUAUGAAUAAUGCAGGUAAGGGAAGUCGGCAAAUUAGACCCGUAACUUUGGGAAAAGGGUUGGCUCUAGUGCUGCGUGGGAGUGGUUGCCGGGUUCUGGCGCGCGCGGCUGUGCGGCUCUCGGCGCGGGACCUCGCAAGGGGACCUGUGCCGUGCCGCUGAGUCUGCGCGCCGCCACGCCUGGCGACGCCCACGGCAUGCAGCAGACUAGAACUGCAACGGGCAAAGGGAAUCCGACUGUUUAAUUAAAACAAAGCAUUGCGAGGGCCGUGGCCGGUGAUGA